AUUAUAUCAAACAGAAAUGCUUUCAAAUUUGGUUCCGCUCUAAUAAAACAUAUAAUAUAUCAGUGAUCGAAUUUGUUAAAAUAAAAGUUAAUAAGGUUUGUAACUUAAAAUUGUAUUUAAAGCGGACAUGGCCUUGACCAUGUUAUCACAUUGAUCUUAAAAGUUUUGGUUUAUACAUUUUAUAGAUUUAUGAAAAAACGUGACUACACACUGUGGAAUAAGGAGUUUAGAGAUUUAAAGGAAUAUAUAAGUUAAUCGUGAGGAGAACAUGAAUUGUUAGAAGAAAGAAGAAGAAGAAGAAGAAGAAGAAGAAGAAGAAGAAGAAGAAGAGAGUACACGGAGCAGAAAUUGUAUUCGCGUGUUGAGGACACACAUUAAGCUCUGAUCUACCUUUUCCAUAUCCACGUAAACCGAUGACAAUCAUAAUAUCAAGUAGGACACUAUUCUAGAAAAACUUCAAAGCAGGAUUCCUACAAUGUGAAAAGUA